AAGAAUUUACUUUCAGGGAUUAUUUCUAGAGUUUGUUACUACAGGAGUUUCUUUUUCUCUGUACUUGUAGAAUGCUCAAAACCAUAAGGAGGAGGCAUAGGAUUCUCCCCUUAGAGUGCUCCUGUUUCUAGGUGUUGCUUCUGCAAUUUCCCUUUGCACUGAUGCUUGCUCUCUUCUCUAGGGAGGGUAAGAAUAGGAGAUGCAGUCUGAGUGG
rnacentral:snoRNA from 1 species